rnacentral:rRNA from 1 species
UACGUAGGGGGCAAGCGUUGUCCGGAAUCAUUGGGCGUAAAGAGCGUGUAGGCGGCUCGGUAAGUCCGCUGUGAAAGUCCAGGGCUCAACCCUGGAAUGCCGGUGGAAACUGUCGAGCUAGAAUCCGGAAGAGGCGAGUGGAAUUCCUGGUGUAGCGGUGAAAUGCGCAGAUAUCAGGAGGAACACCAAUGGCGAAGGCAGCUCGCUGGGACGGUAUUGACGCUGAGACGUGAAAGCGUGGGGAGCAAACAGG